CACGGAGUUAGCCGAUGCUUUUUCUUCGGAUACACGCAGUCCGGGACACGUCCCGGGUUUUGUUCUCCGACAAAAGAGGUUUACAACCCAUAGGGCCGUCUUCCCUCACGCGGCUUGGCUGGUUCAGGAUCUCUCCCAUUGACCAAUAUUCCUCACUGCUGCCUCCCGUGGGAGUCUGGUCCGUGUCUCAGUACCAGUGUGGGGGACCUUCCUCUCAGAACCCCUACGCAUCGUCGCCACGGUGGGCCGUUACCCCGCCGUCAAGCUAAUGCGCCGCAUGCCCAUCCUCUUCCGAUGAAUCUUUCCUCGAUCUCGGAUGCCCGAAACCGAUAUACGCGGGAUUAGCCUCCCUUUCGGAAGGUUGUCCCCCUGAAGAGGGCAGGUUGCAUACGUGUUACUCACCCGUGCGCCGGUCGCCGGCAAGGAAAGCAAAGCUUCCCUCCCGAUGCCCCUCGACUUGCAUGUGUUAAGCCUGCCCGCUAGCGUUCAUCCUGAGCCAGGAUCAAAACUCU
rnacentral:rRNA from 1 species